UUGAAUUAGUGUUGUUGGUUAGAACCUUUCUUAUGCUCACUUGAGACCCAAGUUCGAGCUUUGAUGUCUUCAUUCUUAUUUCAAAAUUAGACUAUAAAAAAAAAGGUCUUAAAUGUGAGUAUUCGUUACUCAGUGAAAAAAAUAACAAGGGAAAAUGGAUUUCCCAUGAAGAGGCUUGAUCCCUUGACCAUAGGUAUAAGAAUCUUGUACUCUACCAACUAGG
rnacentral:lncRNA from 1 species